AUUACCGCGGCUGCUGGCACGUAGUUAGCCGGUGCUUAUUCUUCAGAUACCGUCAACGGAACGUAUUAUUCGUACGUCCCUUUUCGUCUCUGACAAAAGCGGUUUACAACCCGAAGGCCUUCAUCCCGCACGCGGCAUGGAUGGAUCAGGGUUUCCCCCACUGUCCAAAAUUCCCCACUGCUGCCUCCCGUAGG
rnacentral:rRNA from 1 species